UCUAGCCAUGCCGCGUGAGUGACGAAGGCCUUAGGGUCGUAAAGCUCUUUCGCCAGAGAUGAUAAUGACAGUAUCUGGUAAAGAAACCCCGGCUAACUCCGUGCCAGCAGCCGCGGUAAUACGGAGGGGGUUAGCGUUGUUCGGAAUUACUGGGCGUAAAGCGUACGUAGGCGGAUUGGAAAGUAGGGGGUGAAAUCCCGGGGCUCAACCCCGGAACUGCCUCCUAAACUAUCAGUCUAGAGUUCGAGAGAGGUGAGUGGAAUUCCAAGUGUAGAGGUGAAAUUCGUAGAUAUUUGGAGGAACACCAGUGGCGAAGGCGGCUCACUGGCUCGAUACUGACGCUGAGGUACGAAAGUGUGGGGAGCAAACAGGAUUAGAUACCCUGGUAG
rnacentral:rRNA from 1 species